GGGUUCUGGGGAUGACAGAAGAGAGUGAGCACACAGCGGGCGAACUGCAUCAAUCAAGAGAAGGAAUGCUGUUGCUGUUGCGUGCUCACUGCUCUCUCUGUCAUCUCUCCUUUCACGACUCGGACUCAUCAUCAUAUCACGUUAUUGUUUGUUUGAUAAUAUUGAACUAUGCACCCCUGCCAGCAUUUUUUUUAAAGUUUUUUUUUUUUUUGCCAUUAACUGUAAUUUUCCUUUUUUUUUCACUUUUGCAUAAAACUCCGAUCCUGGUUCUAUCAAUUUGGGCUCGGAUAUCAAAGUGCAUGAUUCUGUUGCAGCCAUGUACAACUUGCUUCAAGCGCAUUGGCCAUCAAAGAAAGCAUUUGCUUCAUGUUGUAGAAGGUAAAUCAAUGGAUUCAUGAGGGAAGCAGCAAACUGACAAAAUGGCCGCAAUGGAUAUGCUUGACAUCG